rnacentral:tRNA from 1 species
GCCUGGCUGGCUCAGUCCAUAGAGCAUGCGACUCUUGAUCUCCCGUCAUGAGUUCAAGCCCCAUGUUGGGUG